AUGCAGGCAUCGGCAAGCUCGAACGUCUCACUGACCUUGGCGCCUCCUUCAGCGGCGCCAGAAUCCCCUGCAGCCCGGCGACGCUGGCCUCCACUCCGGCAGCGGCCGCUGCCCCUACAAGGGCUAGAUCCUGGCGCAGCGAAUGCAGAUGUGCCGUUUGCACGAGGAUGUUGCAAGCUACAUGUUCGUUCUUUGGACAUUUGA
rnacentral:rRNA from 1 species